ensembl:snoRNA small nucleolar RNA U85
GCCCAGUGAUGAGACCAAGGCAAAUAUGAGCUGAUUGGCUAAGAGUUUGAGUGCUCCGGCCUCUUAACUGGCAGGUAAUCUUGGCAGAGCAGUGAAGACUGGCUGUUCUGCUGUAAGGGCCUGCCUACAGUGAGCGAGACCCAGCUCUGACGCCUCCUCUUUAAAGAGGUUGAGUUGGAGGUUGGAGAAGGGUAUUCAGUGUGUGUGUGUGUGUGUGUGUGUGUGUGUGUGUGUGUGUGUCAGGAGGCAGGAAGACACCAUGCUCUAUGUGAGUCAAUGGGCUUUGAGUGCUUUCUUUGGUAAUCUGAGGGCA